GGCGUGGCUGGUUGUGGGCGUGUCCCUGGUGGGCGUGGCCUGAGUGGGCGUGUCUCCCGGUGGGCGUGUCCAGGUGAGCACCACCUGCGGAUCCGGCCGGUGGCGCUGGAGGAUGACGCCACAUUCACCUGCCAGGCGGGGGAGGGGAACCGGACACACAGCACCCGCCCCGCCCUGCUCAGCGUGCUGGGUGAGAUGGGGGGACUGGGUUAUACUGGUUUAUACUGGGAGGGGAUUGGGGGCCACUGGGAUAUACUGGGAUGGACUGGGAUGGACUGGGAGGGUAUUGGGGGGGACUGGGUUAUACUGGGUUAUACUGGGAGGGACUGGGAUGGACUGGGAGGGUUCCCGCCCCGCCCUGCUCAGCGUGCUGGGUGAGAUGGGGGGACUGGUUUGUACUGGUUUAUACUGGGAGGGACUGGUUAUACGGGUUAUACUGCAUUAUACUGGUUAUACUGGUUUAUACUGGGUUAUACUGGUUUAUACUGGGAGGGACUGGGAGGGGUCCCGCCCCGCCCUGCUCAGCGUCAUGGGUGAGAUGGCGGGACUGGUUUAUACUGGUUUGUACUGGGAGGGACUGGGAGGCACUGGUUAUACUGGCUUAUAUUGGGUUAUACUGGUUUAUACUGGGUUAUAUUGGGUUAUACUGGGUUAUACUGGGUUAUACUGGGUUUAUACUGGGAGGGGAACCGGACACGGGCGUCCCGCCCCGCCCUGCUCAGCGUGCUGGGUGAGAUGGGGAUUCUGGUUUAUACUGGUUAUACUGGGACAGACUGGGAUAUACUGGGAGGGGAUUUGGAGGGACUGGGAGGGACUGGAAGGGGAUUGAGAGGGGAUUUGGGUUAUACUGGUUUAUACUGGGAGGGACUGGGAGGCACUGGGAGGCACUGGGUUAUACUGGGAGGGACUGUGAAGGAACUGGGUUAUACUGGGAGGGGAUUGGGGGGCACUGGGAUAUACUGGGAUAUACUGGGAGGGACUGGGAUGGACUUGGAGGGGAUUGGGGGGGACUGGGGGGGGAUUGGGGGGGACUGGUUUAUACUGGG
rnacentral:lncRNA from 1 species